rnacentral:rRNA from 1 species
AGAACACCAGUGGCGAAGGCGCUCUACUGGGCCGUAACUGACGCUGAGGGACGAAAGCUAGGGGAGCGAAAGGGAUUAGAUACCCCUGUAGUCCUAGCUGUAAACGAUGGAUACUAGGUGUUGGAUGUAUCGACCCAUUCAGUACCGUAGCCAACGCGAUAAGUAUCCCGCCUGGGGAGUACGCACGCAAGUGUGAAACUCAAAGGAAUUGACGGGGGCCCGCACAAGCGGUGGAGUAUGUGGUUUAAUUCGAUGCAACGCGAGGAACCUUACCAGGGCUUGACAUCCCGCGAACCUUGAUGAAAGUUGAGGGUGCCUUCGGGAGCGCGGAGACAGGUGGUGCAUGGCUGUCGUCAGCUCGUGUCGUGAGAUGUUGGGUUAAGUCCCGCAACGAGCGCAACCCGCGUCCUUAGUUGCCAUCAUUGAGUUGGGCACUCUGGGGAGACUGCCGGGGACAACUCGGAGGAAGGUGUGGAUGACGUCAAGUCAUCAUGCCCCUUACGUUCUGGGCUACACACGUACUACAAUGCUUCGGACAAAGGGCAGCGAACCUGCGAGGGUGAGCUAAUCUCAUAAACCGAGGCACAGUUCAGAUUGCAGGCUGCAACUCGCCUGCAUGAAGGAGGAAUCGCUAGUAAUCGCCGGUCAGCAUACGGCGGUGAAUACGUUCCCGGGCCUUGCACUCACCGCCCGUC